GUUUUGCUAACUAUGCAAUUAGGAAAUUCUUCCUAGUGUCUGGUCUGGAUGUUAACUGCUGUCCGCUAGCAGAUGGAAGGACUCUAUUACCAUGGUGAUGGAAAUAUCAUAAAAAAUAGAGACAAAUAACGUAGAAAUCAGGGUCCUUUUUAUACUCUGAAGCUCCUAAAGAACCUUAUCCUUCAUUGUUGCAGAUAAUGUUCAGGUCUGCCGCUAUGCACAGACGUGACAGGGAUCACAUGCUAGGAACUCCCACCCACCCACAACCAGAACCACUCUCAUUUCUGUUUUCUUGAAAUAAAACCCUCUUCC
rnacentral:lncRNA from 1 species